rnacentral:lncRNA from 1 species
CUUGAUUAUUUCGUAUCUACCCCAGCACUUGGUCGUGGGCUUGACAUAUAGUAAGUGCUUAACAAAUACCGUGCUUGUGAUUACUGGAUGACUCUACCUGAAUUUUCUCUUAAUGUUCUCCAUCAGAGAGAAAAUUGAUUGCUAUCAGUGUGGAACACCUCCUUCCAGAAGAUUUUUAAAAAAGGAGCAAGCAAAAUGUUCCAAAGAGGAAAGAACAAAUUAUGGAAUGGGAACAGAGAACAGCUUUCCUCACUAACCUCUGAAAACCAGGAUUCAGACAGAAGAAAGCCCAGAGAGGCAGGCAAGCAGGAGGAUCUCAUUUCUGGAAUCAUUCAGCAUGUUUCAAGGGCUUCUACUUUCAACAGGUG